AACGAACGCUGGCGGCAGGCUUAACACAUGCAAGUCGAGCGCCCCGCCAGGGGAGCGGCAGACGGGUGAGUAACGCGUGGGAACGUACCUUUUGGAUCGGAACAACUCCGGGACACUGGAGCUAAUACCGGAUAAGCCCUAACGGGGAAAGAUUUAUCGCCGAAAGAUCGGCCCGCGUCUGAUUAGCUAGUUGGUGAGGUAACGGCUCACCAAGGCGACGAUCAGUAGCUGGUCUGAGAGGAUGAUCAGCCACACUGGGACUGAGACACGGCCCAGACUCCUACGGGAGGCAGCAGUGGGGAAUAUUGGACAAUGGGCGCAAGCCUGAUCCAGCCAUGCCGCGUGAGUGAUGAAGGCCUUAGGGUUGUAAAGCUCUUUUGUCCGGGAAGAUAAUGACUGUACCGGAAGAAUAAGCCCCGGCUAACUUCGUG
rnacentral:rRNA from 1 species